UACGUAGGGUGCAAGCGUUGUCCGGAAUUAUUGGGCGUAAAGAGCUCGUAGGCGGUCUGUCGCGUCGGAUGUGAAAACCCAGGGCUCAACCCUGGGCCUGCAUUCGAUACGGGCAGACUAGAGUUCGGUAGGGGAGACUGGAAUUCCUGGUGUAGCGGUGAAAUGCGCAGAUAUCAGGAGGAACACCGGUGGCGAAGGCGGGUCUCUGGGCAACAACUGACGCUGAGGAGCGAAAGCGUGGGGAGCGAACAGG
rnacentral:rRNA from 1 species